rnacentral:rRNA from 1 species
GAUGAACGCUGGCGGCGUGCCUAAUACAUGCAAGUCGAGCGAACGGACGAGAAGCUUGCUUCUCUGAUGUUAGCGGCGGACGGGUGAGUAACACGUGGAUAACCUACCUAUAAGACUGGGAUAACUUCGGGAAACCGGAGCUAAUACCGGAUAAUAUUUUGAACCGCAUGGUUCAAAAGUGAAAGACGGUCUUGCUGUCACUUAUAGAUUGAUCCGCGCUGCAUUAGCUAGUUGGUAAGGUAACGGCUUACCAAGGCAACGAUGCAUAGCCGACCUGAGAGGGUGAUCGGCCACACUGGAACUGAGACACGGUACAGACUCCUACGGGAGGCAGCAGUAGGGAAUCUUCCGCAAUGGGCGAAAGCCUGACGGAGCAACGCCGCGUGAGUGAUGAAGGUCUUCGGAUCGUAAAACUCUGUUAUUAGGGAAGAACAUAUGUGUAAGUAACUGUGCACAUCUUGACGGUACCUAAUCAGAAAGCCACGGCUAACUACGUG